rnacentral:rRNA from 1 species
CACGCCCUAAACGAUGUCAACUGGUUGUUGGGUGGGUAACCACUUAGUAACGAAGCUAACGCGUGAAGUUGACCGCCUGGGGAGUACGGUCGCAAGAUUAAAACUCAAAGGAAUUGACGG